GGACUGGGCAGACUGUGGAGAAAUGAAAACGCAGUGGAUGCAGCUUUGCAGAUGAAAACCCCAUAGGUGAGAACAGGGAAGCACAGAAGGCAGCCAUGGAGAGUGAGAGAAGAUAGAGCAAAUGAAGAGGCUUAGCUUCUCAGAGAGCAGUGCUGCAACAGGAGGAAAAGAAGGAGCAGGACAGAUUGCACGAGGGCCAGGAAAGGAGAGAGUGAGAUUGAUGGAAAAGAAAUACUGCUGUGUAACCUUCCUGACAGAGGUGGGACUGAGAGCUACAAAAUACUCUGACGGGGAAGUGUUGGAAACGUGAGCAGAAAGGAUAGGUCUUUCAGAGCAACAGUGGGAACUAUGCCUGGAAUGGAAUUACAAAUUAAUAAGUUUCAUUAUUCAUCUGCUGUCAGUAAUUAUGUGUGCAGCUCCUCAGCAAAGGGGUCUCAGUUCCCCACCAAGAAGGACAACUUGCUGUGGUCAACAGCUACUUCGCUAGGUCAAGAUGCAGGAUGAUGCCACACUCUGAUCCCAAUUCUGACCAAAAAACAACACACACCCCCCCCAACCCCCAGCCUAUUACCUGCACACUGCAUUUAAAACAGAAAACAUUGAAACUGCACUUCUCUGUGCAAUCUUUUAACCCACCUGUAUGACUUCCUUAUGGCAGAAGGUUUACUUAAAGGCUGUGCCUUUUUAUUGCAACAGGAACAAGGGGUGAGUUUUUCAGAACAUCCUGUUGUCAAACUGAGCUACACUUAGGCUGUGAAAAUUAUGCAGUCUGCAGGUUCACAGGUCAAAUGGUGUGUGCACAAGGAAAUAGAAGGACAACAUCUGAUGUCUACAUUAAAGCUCCUGAAGAAUUGUCUUCUACUCUGCCUCUCUCCAUGAUGUUGACUGCAACGUCACCAGAGCCAAAUUAUGCACGUCUGUCUGAGGUUAACUCUAAAGGUGGCAGCAUGGAAAGAAGAAAUGUGAAUGCAGGAGACCUGACCAUUCAUACCUACCUGACUUUAUCAUAAGAGCAGAAAGAAGAAAGAUUUUCCUGGGAAACUCAGAGCUGACACAAACUAAACCAAGGGAAAGAGGUUGUGUACCUUUUUGAAAAUGUCUUUUCCAACAAUCCAUUUGUGCAAAGGCUUGAUGUUUAGCCAAUCUCUACUUUUCCUGUCCUUGGUGCUAGACUGAAGAAAAGAGUUUCUGGCUAUGGCAAACAGGACUGUUUCUGGCAUGUUCUGCUCCAUUACUCAUGAGACGUUCCUUCUGGCUUGGGUUCAUUUCAUUUCCAAAAUAAUUACUUUCAUGGCAUCCAUUGUUAUCAAAUAUUAUCCUCACAUGUGCAAAUGAAACAAUACUCCUGAGGCAGUAUCUUCGUGUUCCUUACCCGGGAGGUAAAAACGCAUUGAUAGGAGUAGAAAUUUCAUCAAAACCAAUAAGUUUCAACCGAUGGUUAUAUAAUAUCCUGUAACAAAAGGAAGAUGAAAUAGACCCAGAGAAAAUGCAAGGUAAUGCAAAUAGAAGUUAGUUUACAUUUCAUUUUAUAGUUUAACACUAUUAUUAAAAAGACCAAUAUAUAAUCAUCAUGAUAGGAUGACACAUAAAAAAGACCAGCAGCAGAGAAACUAAUUAGAAACAGCAGGGCAAAGGAAAGAACUGCACUGCAUAAUGACAUUUAUAAUGCAAGAGGAGGGAAGACUAAAAAGAACCUCUGAAUUGGGACUAAUACAGAGUCAAGAUAUCUCUAUUUCUGGUAUUAGUAGGGGUAUACUAAACCAGGAGUUUGAGCAAAUAAUCACAUAUAUUGGAAAAAAAAACCCAACCAAACAAAAAGCUAACACACUAACAAUAAACCAGAAAGUGACCUAAGGAAAGCUCUGGUUUCUUUGUUAGAAGACAAAGUAAAAAACACUGGAAACUUUUUGCAUGCUGCAGGAAACAGCAGACAAAAAACACCCAUUUGUAAAUGUGUAUAAAUAACAACAAUGGAGCUGUUAAGAGUUGCCCACAACGGAAGUAAACACAGUAUCUUUCCUUUAAAAUGGCACAAAAUGAGAGAAAAUAUAUUAAGAGUGAAAAAUAACAGCUUGCUUCUAUAGUUAGCAAAAAAAUCCAGCUGAGAUUAAGACAAAAUUAGAGCUGGAAUAGCAGCUAGAAUUCUGACCUCAUUAAUGAGUCUAGAAUGGCAUGUGGACUGUUUUUCAUUUAUUUUUUGCCAAACGUCCACCUCUCCCUGGGCUCCUGCAAGCACCUAAAGCCUGCAUCAUAGCUCGUUCAAAGCUUUGAAAGCAGCAGGCACUUCUACAUCUCAGAGUCUAGGUCAAAACUGUUAGUAUCGGAAGACACUAGAGGUAGAGUUUUCAAAGAGUAAAGUUUUGUAAGUUGCCAGAGUGCCUCUGUUUUGUACUGAUA